CCUCUGGGUUGUGAGGACUUGUGGAGGAGUAUCUUGGAUGGUACAUCGACAGAAACCACAGUUGCAUUCAACGAUUCAGAGAUGGACUGGCAAGUUUGGAUUUUUUCUCUGCACUGCAGCAGCAUUCCAGUGUUCUUGCCCCAGUCUUGUCCUACUCCUGCAAGGUCCUGACUGCUUCAGACAUGGAGAACAUGUUCAUACCAGAUCUCAGCCCACCAGGAAGUAACAGGUGGCAGAAGGAGGCCAAAACACUUGGAUUUUGGGCGGAUUAUCUAUCUGAUUCUGAGGAGAAAUUAACAGCUGUGUCCCUGGAGGAGUUACUGAUGUUUGCCACCGGUCUGGCUUCACUUCCACCAGCAGGCAUGACACC